GAUGAACGCUGGCGGCGUGCCUAAUACAUGCGAGUCGAGCGAACAGACGAGGAGCUUGCUCCUCUGACGUUAGCGGCGGACGGGUGAGUAACACGUGGAUAACCUACCUAUAAGACUGGGAUAACUUCGGGAAACCGGAGCUAAUACCGGAUAAUAUAUUGAACCGCAUGGUUCAAUAGUGAAAGACGGUUUUGCUGUCACUUAUAGAUGGAUCCGCGCCGCAUUAGCUAGUUGGUAAGGUAACGGCUUACCAAGGCAACGAUGCGUAGCCGACCGGAGGGGGUGAUCGGCCACCCUGGAACUGAGACACGGUCCAGACUCCUACGGGAGGCAGCAGUAGGGAAUCUUCCGCAAUGGGCGAAAGCCUGACGGAGCAACGCCGCGUGAGUGAUGAAGGUCUUCGGAUCGUAAAACUCUGUUAUUAGGGAAGAACAAAUGUGUAAGUAACUAUGCACGUCUUGACGGUACCUAAUCAGAAAGCCACGGCUAACUACGUG
rnacentral:rRNA from 1 species